rnacentral:rRNA from 1 species
AGUGGGGAAUUUUGGACAAUGGGCGAAAGCCUGAUCCAGCAAUGCCGCGUGCAGGAUGAAGGCCUUCGGGUUGUAAACUGCUUUUGUACGGAACGAAAAAGCUCCUUCUAAUACAGGGGGCCCAUGACGGUACCGUAAGAAUAAGCACCGGCUAACUACGUGCCAGCAGCCGCGGUAAUACGUAGGGUGCGAGCGUUAAUCGGAAUUACUGGGCGUAAAGCGUGCGCAGGCGGUUAUGUAAGACAGAUGUGAAAUCCCCGGGCUCAACCUGGGAACUGCAUUUGUGACUGCAUGGCUAGAGUACGGUAGAGGGGGAUGGAAUUCCGCGUGUAGCAGUGAAAUGCGUAGAUAUGCGGAGGAACACCGAUGGCGAAGGC